CACACGAUAGUUCAGUGGUUAGAGCGUCGGCAUUGAAUGUCGAAAGUCGCGGGUUCGAAUCCCGCUCGUGUGA